GGCGGCGAGAACCCCUGCGCGAGGGGCGGAGCGCGCGGAGCCGGCUCUGCGGAAGGCUGCAUCAUCCCGCGCCGGGACGGUUACGUCCCGCUGCGGGGCCGACCAGGCAGCCGCACUGCCCUCCGCACUGGGGACCGAGGCCAGCGGCCAGGGGCCGGACGCCUGCGCUCGGGGGCCCCGCAGACCCGCGGCCCGCACGCACCCAGCUCUGCCCCCGGCCCGCGCCUCUGGCCGCGCCUCCCGCCUCUCCCGCCCGCUCCGGGAUGGGUUAGGGACGGCGCCUCUGAGCGGGGCGAUGGGCCGCCCUCUGGGCUCCGAGCAGCCCCCCAGGCCUGACCUGCCCGAAGGCCGGUGGAGGUGGAUGUGCGCCUGGGGAGCUCGCACUGGGGGCGCCAGGAGCUCCGCCUGGAUGUGAAGCGCAUGCCCCAGUGCCCCCCAGCGGACUCGGUGGGACCAUGGCUUCCCUGAUGCCCCUCUCGUCAUCUCUCCUCAUAUCUGAGCCCCAGAUAUGAGCUGCUGGUCAGCUGUGACCUGGGCUUCCUGUGAGCAGUGAGUGAGAGGAAUGUGAGGUCACUCACCCCCAAGCCAACUCGGCCACUGUGUCCUUGGACGUCCCAGAAGGCAGCAUCUUCAUUGGCUACUCCGUUUCCCAGCAAACUGCGGUGAUCAACUGGAGUCCUCGAAGAAGCAUCUGGGUAGAGGCGAAGCCCAAGGAGAUUGCCAACUUACACACCGUCACUGCCUUGGCCUGGAAGCGGGCGGGAUGCCUCAGGACUCUGCACAGUACGUCACUCGCAGUCCCUUUCGCCACUGGUGGCUUAGGGGAAAUCCUGCCUCUCUGAAAACACACCCACCUGGCAAUAGGGAAUCCUGCCUUUCCUUUUGAUUCCAAAUUGACAAUGGAGUGAGUGUUAAAUGGAAAUUUAUACUCAGUUGGAGGCCACACAUGAGACAGCUGUACAGGCAGGGCUGACUUCUCCCUCAUUCUCCCAUCCACAUGUGAUGCCCUGGAGUCCUGUGACUGCCACCUCUUUCCUUUCAGUUCUUUCAGAAAUGCCCGCUCUUCUUUAAAUUCUAGAGCCUAGA